GGAGGGUGCGAGCGUUAAUCGGAAUUACUGGGCGUAAAGCGCGCGCAGGCGGCUGGGUCAGUCGGAUGUGAAAGCCCCGGGCUUAACCUGGGAAUUGCAUUCGAUACUGCCCGGCUAGAGUAUGGGAGAGGGAAGUGGAAUUUCCGGUGUAGCGGUGAAAUGCGUAGAUAUCGGAAGGAACACCAGUGGCGAAGGCGGCUUCCUGGCCCAAUACUGACGCUCAGGUGCGAAAGCGUGGGGAGCGAACAGGGAUUAGAUACCCUGGUAGUCCACGCUGUAAACGAUGAGAACUAGAUGUUGGGAGGGUUAGCCUCUCAGUGUCGCAGCUAACGCGUUAAGUUCUCCGCCUGGGAGUACGACCGCAAGGUUG
rnacentral:rRNA from 1 species